CUUGCUUUUCACGCUCCAACGUUUACAGCGUCUGGGGCACACCCAUCCUGCGGGGGCUCCCCCAGGCUGUGUGCCGAGAGGCGUCGGAGGGUGGGGGGCUGCUGCAGCGCGACCCCACAGGGACCCCCAAAUUCCCGAUGCGAGGAGGGGAGGGGGGCAGCAUCAUCCUAGAGUCACAGCGGCGGCAGGGGGGGGGCGCGACACAGCCACAACCUUUCGGCAACCCGAGCCGCCGCUUGCGCAAGGCGGUCGGAGAUAAAUAUAUAUAUAUAUAUAUAUAUAAAUAUAUAAUUUUUUUUUUUUUUCCUCUCCCGGAGCGACACGGUGUCUAGACGCCCACGUGAUGGGGCCGGGGCCGGGCCGUGCCGGGCCGGGGCCGUGCCGCUGCGCACUGCGAAGGCGCCGGAGGGGGGGGGGAACCGGGGGGGCGGGCGCGGCCGAGGGCGCAGGCACCGCCGCUCCCGGCUCCUCCGCUCCGCUCCGCUCCGCCGCGCCCGGCUCCGCGCCGCCGGGGCUCCCCCGCAGCAAAGGAAGACGGAGGCGCUGGUGCGGGGAGGGCGCCUCUUUGCAGCCAGCGGAGGGAAGAGGAAAAAAAGGAGGAGGAGGAAAAAAAAAAAAAAAAAAAGCAGGAGGAGGAGGAGGAGGAGAAGGAGGAGGGGAAGGAAGGAAGGAGGAGAGAGGAGGAAAAAAAAAAAUAAAAAAGGAUAAUAAUAAUAAUAAUAAUAAAAAAAGAGAGCCAGACGCGGCGGCAGCACGGAGAGGGUCCCCAUCAGCCGGAUCAAGACUCUGCGUGUGCGUGUGGAUUAAAACCUUCGGGAAGAAGGAGGAGGAAGACCCCAAAACCCCGCAUCAGGACGACCUGGGCUUUCAAAAGGGAUACAACACUCUGGAUGCGCUUAUUCUUCUCUUUUGUGACAGAUGCUUAAAUCGAUUCCGACGGCCGAAUCUUAGGGUCGGUGGUUGUUUUUUUAUUUUUAUUUUUUAUUUUUUUUCCUUUUUUUUUUAUUUUUAUUUUUUUUGAUCUCCACCGUCUGGGCUCGCUGUUUUCUUCCUAAUUCCUUCGUUCUGCAUCCCCGCCGCCCCCCAACCUUUCCCAAGCUGGCGGCUUGAUGGGAGCCGCGGCCCCGGGGAGGCCGAGGAUCCCCCGCGGCUCCAGGCUCGCUCCGCAGCCGCGCAGGGCUGCUCGGCGCCGGCCAGCCCAGCCCGCCUCCCCCCGCGCGAUGCGCCGCGGCGCCGCGCUCUAAGGCGGCAUUUUCGCCCUCUUCGCUUUUUUUCUCCGGGGGGCGAAGCGAGGCAGAGAGGCGGCUCCCCCCCUCCCCCGGCUCCCUCGCUCUUCCUCCGCUUUCUGCCCCCUUUUCCUCGCACCCUUCGCGGCGGGCGGCGGAGGAA
rnacentral:lncRNA from 1 species